ACUGUCGUAACGAAGUUAACACAUUAAGCACCCGCCUGGGAGUACGGCCGCAGGCUAAACUCAAAGGAAUUGACGGGGCCCGCACAAGCGGCGAGCAUGCGGAUUAAUUCGAUGCAACGCGAAGAACCUUACCAAGGCUUGACAUGUAGAGGAAAAGUGCAGAGAUGCACUCCCCGCAAGGUCUCUACACAGGUGGUGCAUGGUUGUCGUCAGCUCGUGUCGUGAGAUGUUGGGUUAAGUCCCGCAACGAGCGCAACCCUCGUCCUAUGUUGCCAGCACGUUAUGGUGGGAACUCAUGGGAUACUGCCGGGGUCAACUCGGAGGAAGGUGGGGAUGACGUCAAAUCAUCAUGCCCCUUAUGUCUUGGGCUUCACGCAUGCUACAAUGGCCAGUACAGAGGGCUGCAAUACCGUAAGGUGGAGCGAAUCCCAAAAAGCUGGUCUCAGUUCGGAUUGAGGUCUGCAACUCGACCUCAUGAAGUCGGAGUCGCUAGUAAUCGUAGAUCAGCAACGCUACGGUGAAUACGUUCCCGGGCCUUGUACACACCGCCCGUCAAGUCACGAAAGUCGGUAACACCCGAAGCCGGUGGCCUAACCGCAAGGAGGGAGCCGUCGAAGGUGGGAUUGGUGAUUGGGACUAAGUCGUAACAAGGU
rnacentral:rRNA from 1 species